rnacentral:lncRNA from 1 species
GCGGCGCUGGCAAUGGCUGCCUCUGCCUCCGCGCCAGCGAGCCAUGAUGCCUUGAGGUACUAUGUUAUCCACCACCGGGACCCCGACACUCCAGAAGAUGUGGAAAAUUUCGCCGACCGGCUGGGACUAUAAUGAAUAUUAUCAUGACAAUUUUUUUAAAUUGUAAA